rnacentral:rRNA from 1 species
UACAGAGGUCUCAAGCGUUGUUCGGAUUCAUUGGGCGUAAAGGGUGUGUAGGUGGCGCCGUAAGUCGGGUGUGAAAUUUCGGAGCUUAACUCCGAAACUGCAUUCGAUACUGCGGUGCUUGAGGACUGGAGAGGAGACUGGAAUUUACGGUGUAGCGGUGAAAUGCGUAGAUAUCGUAAGGAAGACCAGUGGCGAAGGCGGGUCUCUGGACAGUUCCUGACGCUGAAGCACGAAGGCCAGGGGAGCAAACGGG